rnacentral:misc_RNA from 1 species
UCCCCGUUAUCCUGGGCAGUCCCUCCAGAGUUCCCGGCAUAACCCGUUGGCAACUGGAGGCGGGGGUUGCGCUCGUUGCGGGACUUAACCCAACACCUCACGACACGAGCUGACGACAGCCAUGCACCACCUGUGUAAAGCCCCGAAGGACACCGUAUUUCUACGGCUUUUCUCUACAUGUCAAGCCCAGGUAAGGUUCUUCGCGUCGCAUCGAAUUAAGCCACAUGCUCCGCCGCUUGUGCGGGCCCCCGUCAAUUCCUUUGAGUUUCAGCCUUGCGGCCGUACUCCCCAGGCGGGGUACUUCCUGCGUUAGCGCCGGCACCCAAGGGGUCGCUCCCCCAGGCACCUAGUACCCAUCGUUUACGGCGUGGACUAC